rnacentral:lncRNA from 1 species
AAUCACACAAGACCUUAAAAGCUGAGAACUUCCUCCUGCUGGGGACAGGACAGAUGAGGCAGAAGGGGAGGUUAGGGAGGUUUGAAGAGUGAGAAGAACUUCUGCAGUGGCUGACUUGGAAGAUGAAGGAGGUUAUGAACCAGGGAAUGGGGGCAGCCUCUAGAGGCUGAGAACCUGCUGACACCUACCCACAACCGCUAAGGAAAUGAAGACUUUAAUUCCACAACUGCAUGCAACUAAACUCAGCCAACAACCUGAAUAAGUCGGAAAAAGGCUUCUCCAGAGCCUCCAGAUAAGAGGCCAGGCUGGCGACACCUUGAUUUUGACCUUGUGAGACCUAGAGCAGAGAAACUAGCCAAGAUCACUCAGACUUCUGAUCUACAGAACUGUGAGACCGUAAAUUUAUGUUGUAUUAAGCCACUAAUUGCGUGGGAAUUUGUUACAGGAGCAAUAGAAAAUGAAUACACCUUCUGAUGUAGUUUAAUCAGUUGACAUUAGGGGUGACACCAAGAUGUGCUACACUGAACCCAACUUCUGCAUGUUUAAGACAAGACGCAAGGUCAAAAAUUUACAUCAGGUAUCUGAAUGUGUAGCAUAUACAACUGAGUGUUGAAAGAAGACAAAAUCGUUUUCAUCACGAAGAAUAUGUGCUCAGUAAGAAUCAGAAUGUUCAAUUGUGUGAAGGUGGGAGAUGGGAAGAUUGGUAUUAUGGCCUGGAUCCAGAAAUCAGUCUUCCACUAUAGGAAAUGGGAAUUUAAAGAUGAUCAGAAGACAGUUGGGAGCAGAGUGAGAAUAAGAACCCUCAACUGCUGUCUCACCUUUCAGAUCACGAAGAAGUUUUUUACAAUGAGCAGAACACUCAACCUGAAAGCAGAAUGGAUUGAGUCACUGCAGCGUGGCAGUGGAAUGGUGUUUGAUGUUGGCAAAGGAAACAUGUACUUCUAGACUGGACAGUUUUCCCUUAGUUUACAGUUUCCAAAUAGAGACAUCACUUUGAAAUAACAUGGAGAACAUACAUGGAUGUACUGAACGAAGAAUAAAGUCUGUGUUGCAGUCCUGUCUCCAUUGACUUUUACAAAUAUGGCUUUGGAUGAAUCACCUAAGUUUUAUUUUUGAGAAUUUACGCUUACCAUGUAUAAAAUGAUAUUGCUAAUAUGUUUGCUGCCUACCCCAUUGGGUUUUGUGAGGAAUAAAUGAUAAUGCUAAGAAAAAGGAAAAAAAAAAAAAAAA